rnacentral:rRNA from 1 species
AUGAACGCUGGCGGCGUGCCUCAUACAUGCAAGUCGCGCGAACAGACGAGGAGCUUGCUCCUCUGACGUUAGCGGCGGACGGGUGAGUAACACGUGGAUAACCUACCUAUAAGACUGGGAUAACUUCGGGAAACCGGAGCUAAUACCGGAUAAUAUAUUGAACCGCAUAGUUCAAUAGUGAAAGACGGUUUUGCUGUCACUUAUAGAUGGAUCCGCGCCGCAUUAGCUAGUUGGUAAGGUAACGGCUUACCAAGGCAACGAUGCGUAGCCGACCUGAGAGGGUGAUCGGCCACACUGGAACUGAGACACGGUCCAGACUCCUACGGGAGGCAGCAGUAGGGAAUCUUCCGCAAUGGGCGAAAGCCUGACGGAGCAACGCCGCGUGAGUGAUGAAGGUCUUCGGAUCGUAAAACUCUGUUAUUAGGGAAGAACAAAUGUGUAAGUAACUAUGCACGUCUUGACGGUACCUAAUCAGAAAGCCACGGCUAACUACGUG